UCUUAUGGAUGAGCAAAGAAAGUGGUUUCUUAAGGUGGAAUCUACUCCCAGUUAAGAUGCUGUAUUGAA
rnacentral:pre_miRNA from 1 species